rnacentral:rRNA from 1 species
AGAGUUUGAUCCUGGCUCAGGAUGAACGCUAGCUACAGGCUUAACACAUGCAAGUCGAGGGGAAACGAUAGAGAAAGCUUGCUUUUUCUAGGCGUCGACCGGCGCACGGGUGAGUAACGCGUAUCCAACCUGCCCAUCACUUGGGGAUAACCUUGCGAAAGUAAGACUAAUACCCAAUGAUAUCUCAAGAAGACAUCUGAAUGAGAUUAAAGAUUUAUCGGUGAUGGAUGGGGAUGCGUCUGAUUAGCUUGUUGGCGGGGUAACGGCCCACCAAGGCUACGAUCAGUAGGGGUUCUGAGAGGAAGGUCCCCCACAUUGGAACUGAGACACGGUCCAAACUCCUACGGGAGGCAGCAGUGAGGAAUAUUGGUCAAUGGGGCGAGAGCCUGAACCAGCCAAGUAGCGUGCAGGAUGACGGCCCCUAUGGGUUGUAAACUGCUUUUAUAAGGGAAUAAAGUGAGCCUCGUGAGGCUUUUUGCAUGUACCUUAUGAAUAAGGACCGGCUAAUUCCGUGCCAGCAGCCGCGGUAAUACGGAAGGUCCGGGCGUUAUCCGGAUUUAUUGGGUUUAAAGGGAGCGUAGGCCGGAGAUUAAGCGUGUUGUGAAAUGUAGAUGCUCAACAUCUGCACUGCAGCGCGAACUGGUUUCCUUGAGUACGCACAAAGUGGGCGGAAUUCGUGGUGUAGCGGUGAAAUGCUUAGAUAUCACGAAGAACUCCGAUUGCGAAGGCAGCUCACUGGAGCGCAACUGACGCUGAAGCUCGAAAGUGCGGGUAUCGAACAGGAUUAGAUACCCUGGUAGUCCGCACGGUAAACGAUGGAUGCCCGCUGUUGGUCUGAAUAGGUCAGCGGCCAAGCGAAAGCAUUAAGCAUCCCACCUGGGGAGUACGCCGGCAACGGUGAAACUCAAAGGAAUUGACGGAAGGGCGA